rnacentral:rRNA from 1 species
CCUACGUGAGGCAGCAGUGGGGAAUAUUGCACAAUGGGGGAAACCCUGAUGCAGCAACGCCGCGUGGGUGAAGGAGCGUUUCGGCGCGUAAAGCCCUGUCAGCGGGGAAGAAGAAAGACGGUACCCGACCAAGAAGCCCCGGCUAACUACGUGCCAGCAGCCGCGGUAAUACGUAGGGGGCGAGCGUUAUCCGGAAUUACUGGGUGUAAAGGGAGCGUAGACGGCGAGGUAAGCCUGGAGUGGAAGCCCGCGGCCCAACCGCGGAACUGCUUUGGAAACUGUCCGGCUAGAGUGCAGGAGAGGGAAGUGGAAUUCCUAGUGUAGCGGUGAAAUGCGUAGAUAUUAGGAGGAACACCAGUGGCGAAGGCGGCUUACUGGACUGUAACUGACGUUGAGGCUCGAAAGCGUGGGGAGCAAACAGGAUUAGAUACCCUGGUAGUC